UGUCCUCGGUUCCUCUUCCUGCCCAAGCACGCUUCCUCUCUCUCGUCUCGUCUCCCUUUCAUCCCAUUCCCCUCGCGCUCGUUGCUGCCUCUCCCCCGGCGGCGGCGGAUCUCGCGAUGGCGACCACGAUGCGUCUUCUUUUUACUGUCUAACAUUAUGGAUUGGGCAGGGCCACUCAGUGGAGGCCAGCUAGGGUGCGCGACGCCCAGCCCUGGCGCCAGUGCCUCCCCUUCUCGGCUUCUUUCCUCCUCUCCUUGCCCGCCGCCUCGUCCUCCCAACCAGCCAUCCCAGACCCCGUCGGCCGUUGCAGCCUCGUCCCUCCUUCCUGGAUGCCAUGGCCUCCUUUCCUCUGCCGUCGCUUCUUCCUUUCUGAUGGCAUCUCCUCAUCUCUUGCCCUCGCCACUUUACGCCAUGAAGGAGGUGGAGAGGGCAUCGGCCAUCGGAGGAGCCAGGAAGAGGAUGUUCCCAUGAAGAGGCGACAUGGAUUGAUGGCAGACCCUAGCGUGAAUCAGACAUGGGCAUGAUUGUUGACUGGUGGGGAUCGGACAUGGGCAUGACUGGUGGAGCUGAUAACGGCCACAUCAAGAAACGACCAUAGCUCCUGGAGCCAGUUGCCAUUAUUUUGCCUCACCGGACAAAAACUGAAAAUGAGCCAACAGUUGGAAGUGGCAUUCAUGUAGGAAAGCACCAGCUUCAUCGAUUAUAGGCAGAAGGUACAGGAUCAUGUGAUAAAUGAUAUGAUCACACCCACCAAUACACGUGAACAGCCGCCGCUCUUCACGGACGCUCCGGAACAAUGUCUCAGCGCGGCGUCAGUGGAGGAGAUGACCACGGUCAUGCCCUCAGCGGCUGGAAUAGAGGGGCGGAGCAGCCAGCUAAACAAAUAUGAUUUCAAAUGAUUUUUCCUACAAUCCAUGGCAAGCUAGAUAUGGACGUAUGGGUUCAUCUUGAGAUGAAAUAUUCCUACAAUCCAUGGCAAGCUAGAUAUGGACGUAUGGGUUCAUCUUGAGAUGAAAUAUUCAUUUAUGUAUGUUUUCUUUUGGCACAUUCAUUUUGUGUUAAUCUUAUCCCGCUUUCUUGUUUUUCAGGUAGUUUAGUGCUCAACAAGGAUUGUAUAAGGAUGGAAAACGCACAUUUAAGACAGUGUUCUUAUUUUGUAUUCUUCCUUAGCAAGCACUUCUUCUUAAUCCUUCUCUUUCUCUUUCUCCCCCUUGUCAUGAUAAUAUCUUUAGUCAUCUUUGCAAGAGCUGCUAACAAAAAGUUGAACAUCUUAGCAGGCUCGUAUACCCUAAGUGGAAUAUCUAUGCCGUUCUGAUUCUGAAUGAGGAUUUCUGAAUGUAUUAGUUAAUCACUUUCGAAUCCUUCAUAAACACCACACUGUAACCCUUGAAGUCAUGUUAAUGUUAAUUAUGCAUACUGGAUCUAAACUUUUGGCUUUAAACUUCAAGAGAUAUUUAUUGUUUAUACAUGCCCAUCUCAUUUGACGUGUACAGAGGCUAACCACUAUUUUUGUAAUUCUAAAUUGCAGGUCCAUACUCGUCCUCUGUUAAUGGGCAUUCCAUCAAAGUUAACAAUAUCGUGGUCAUCAUUGAGAAGCCGGACGGUAACACCAAAAUAUAAAGUGAAGAGGCACACUUAUCCAGAACAGGGUAGAUCAUCAGGCUCUCAUAACAAACAUCAAAUGGUAUGCCGCAAAUACAAUCGCCAAUCUUAGACAACUCAAUGACGAUAAGGAGAUUGGUUUGUAUGGACUCGCCGUUCCCCCUUGCAAUACACAAUUGCCAAUCUAAGUUGUUCGAAUAAGAACUACUUCUUAGUUUCCAUGUUUUGUUCUAUCGGUCCCUUUUUUAUUUUCAGAUCUGCAGAUUUUAAUUUUGGAUCGAAGGCUCAGAUUUGUUCAAGUUUUUUGCUUGCAGUAAAACUCUUAGUAGAGACAACUGGAUAUACGAAACAAAGUGAACUACCAGUUUUCUAUUGAACAAUCUCUACUCCGAUUUUAUUGUGACAUAUACCUAAAUUUAUUCUUAGAGAAAACUUGA